rnacentral:rRNA from 1 species
AGCGAACGCUGGCGGCAUGCUUAACACAUGCAAGUCGCGCGGGUGGUUUCGGCCAUCAGCGGCGGACGGGUGAGUAUCGCGUAGGAAUGUAUCCCGAGGUGGGGGACAACCCUGGGAAACUGGGGCUAAUACCGCAUGGGGCCUGUGGGUCAAAGCCUUAGGGCGCCUUGGGAGCAGCCUGCGUCCGAUUAGGUAGUUGGUGGGGUAAAGGCCUACCAAGCCUGCGAUCGGUAGCUGGUCUGAGAGGACGAUCAGCCACACUGGGACUGAGACACGGCCCAGACCCCCACGGGGGGCAGCAGUGGGGAAUAUUGGACAAGGGGCGCAAGCCUGAUCCAGAAAUGCCGGGGGGGUGAAGAAGGUCUUCGGUUUGUAAAGCCCUUUCGGGGGGGACGAUGAUGACGGUACCCGCAGAAGAAGCCCCGGCUAACUUCGU